CCGUCAUAUUUAUCCAAAAGGUAAUCGCCUGUAAUAAAAGGAAUAUAAAAGAAUCAAAGAGAAAUCACAGAGUCUCGGAUCACAAUCGUCAAGUACAAUCGCAGUGCGGCGCGGCGACGAUGAAGAAUUUUGAGGGUGACAAAUAUCCGCGGCUUAGAAACGGUUUAUCCGUAGACGGGAGAUGAGUCAUGAGAUAAUACGGUGACUCCGUGGUCGGAGUAGCUAUCUGUCAAAUUACACCUGGGCAUUGUGUCGUGAGAUGCGAACGGCGCAAGAAGAAAACUGUGAUGUAUACGUAUACAUAUAUAUACAUAUAAUAUAUAUAGUGAGUGUUUCCGAGCGAAUAAGCCAUGAAUGCAUAAUAUAAGUACAGUGAGCGACUACACAAUGCUAUCUGCGUAUGAGGUUAUGGCGGAGAAGACGCGUGGAACGGCGAACGUUAAGGUUGGCGACGAAACGAAUUAUGCUAAUGUAAUUGUCACGCGCAAUUUUGGCAAUACGCAAUUAUUUAUCAGAGUCAUGCUUUCUUCUUGGUUCCAGGUAAUUAUGCUAAUAACCCCAUAGUGGCAAAUUUGUCCUGGGCUGAGAUUUGUGUCUGAAACUACAAUUAACUUUUCUGGCUGUUUCGACUGGCUGUUAAUCCGAGAUUCACGCACGGACGUUGCGUUAGCCAAAGACGUGAUGCAUGCGCGUGUCGAUGGGAUUGAGCUCGCUUGGCUUUACCUGGAAAAAAAUCACUUUCGAUGUCCGUUCGAUACGAAUGACUCUGUGAACUCUUUUGAAGAUUCAUCAGGCGUGACCGAGACCAAUAUGCGAGACAAACUAGAGACUCGAAUGGUGAAUCAGCAGCUUGCAAUGACACCAUGAAUAAUUGGAUGAAUAGAAUGAAAGGAGGUUAAGGAGAAUACGAGGAUAUUGUAUUGGAAGACCCUGUGAUCGUCAUUGAUCUCCCGGCGUCUCUUGGUAGGAAACUGUGUCACCCGAUGUUUCCUCAAGAAAAAAAAGGCAUCCUCGUACGAGCGGUUCCUGCCUACGUUAUACAAGCCAUCGCUGAUUCCUUAUAGCAAUGGUAAGGUGGACACGAGGAACAACUCGAAGAGCAUAAUGAGAGACAAUGCUACGCCUUUACCGUGUCUGCCGACUUGUUAUUUAAAUUCGUAUCAUGCCUGGCAGAGUGUAUCGAAUUUUAUUUUCUUGAAUCCUCUUGAAAAGUAAGAAAAAACAAAAAAAAAAGAAGAAGAAGAAGAAGCACGGUUGAGAUAUCGUGAACGGGUAUCUGCUAAUACCUAGUUUCACCCUCUUGGGUAGCCGAAGUAAAUAAAUACACCAGUGACUCCUGAAGCCUGGAGUUCACUUAAGGUUUAUAAAAAUGACCAGAAGAAACGAGGUGCUCCCUCAAUAUACGAGGUAUCGAACGAUCCCAGAUCUUGGGACCGUUCAAAGAAAUUCACGUUGACUCUCCGACUCAUCUCCACGUUCCGUACCAGGUCUUGUACAGCAUCGUAACCGGGAUAUUUAGAAACUUCAAGAUAGCGGCUAAAGAGUUGCUCGUGUAUCCUUAAGUAUUCAUGGCUUUUCCGAGAUUCGGUAGAUUGGACCAGCCGAUAAGCACGAGAUUAAGGAAACGGGGAAAAUUAGCGUCUGAUCAUUGGAUAAGAUUGUGAGUGGAAAACAAUACGGGAUGAGAGAAACUAUACAACCUGGAGGGUAUGCUCUCUCGAGUGACUAUCUCAUGACAACUACCGGUGCAGGUACACCAUUAUGUCAGCCCGACGCUAGGCGUCACCCAGUGGAAGCUGUUUCGCCAAGAUACAGUUUUAGAUGGUGGAAAAAGACAGUUUAAAAAAAAACAGUACCUCUGCUCAUCAAUAAUAAUUAUCUAAGGAUGAUUAACGAUGAUCCAGGAUAAUGAGAAAUUUCCAGUGAAAAUUAUUUUCUACCAAGACGGAACCGUAGACGCACACGGUAACUCUAAUGACUUGGGUUGUCCUUAACGAAACCAAAUCUUCUCCUGACUAGUUCCAUGGACUUUCUUUCUCUAAGGGUCGAUCCUGCCUGCAAACAAGAUUUUAUCUUGGAACAAAGCGCAGCCUCCGAUUAAGGAUUGCGUGGCACGACUUGCGGCGAUACCAUUGUCCCACCCCGUCAUAACGUAAUUGCAUCUUGUUCUACCUUGGCUACCAGGACGCGCACUCUUCGAUGUACCCAGACGUUUCAAAAGUCGUCGUACGGAUCCCAAAAGUUUCAAGUGCAUAAAGUAACGGAAUGAAGCUGCUACUUAAAAGCCACGGGUAAAGACAAUCUCUUCAAGAAACGUUACACCGCAAGGAUAAUGACUCUGCUUGCUUGUACAUACGAUGAUUCUUGAAAUGCCCUGUAGCGUUUAACCGUUCAAGCGUUUUCGUGGAGGUAAGGAGCCAGGUACAUUUAUAAUAAUUAUCGGGACGCCGCAGCGCACCUUUCGAAAGGCAAUGCUUCCUUACAACAGACAUCAUUACGUUCUACACCAGUCGACGUAGGCGUGGCAAAUCAUUGGGAGUCCUGCCGUUGGAUCUGUCAGAAGUGCACGGGGCUAACGGAAGCUGUACUGACCGUGCGAAUUUUCCAAGUCUAAAGGAUACCUGCGACAAUGAGAAGAGGAAGAAGAGAAAAAAGGCCCUGCCCAUUAUUUAAUGACAGAAAAUACAAGAAGCCUACCUCAGCCUGCUCAGCACUGUACAUACCUAUGGAUGAGAAAUUGCGUAUAUCAAUGUAUCGGCAUUCCAUAUACGCAACGAGAAUGUACAGUCCCAGCUGUGCAGCGCGUCUGACAUAUAUACAAAACUCUUGAUCGUUGCAUACUCAAAAUUAGCAUAUGCACAUAAUGAUAAUAGUACAGUUAUUCUCAUACAGUGGGUGCCAGUCGAAAUUGCGAAAUAUUGCAGAAAUCAAAUAGCUGAAAUAAGUUGGUUAAAGGGUCGAAAGGAAAUAGUUCAUUCUCACCCUCGUAAACAUAAGUAACCCGGACACUACGUGAUUUUCCAUAAGGCCUGCAAGCGUAACUAAAUUGAAGACAAGUCGAUUCAGCUAUUGGAUGUAUCAGGUAUGACCGAACCUCGAUGAUAAAAUAUAAUCGGAAAGAUGGUCUGCCAGUCGGUUAUCUCGUAAACCCAGGAGUCAAUGAACCCCGGCAUCAAACAUAUAUUUAUGCUCGAGCUUAAGGUAACUAUCCCCGUUGCACAAUUGACUUGGACCUCUAAUUAACACAAAAAGACACGGCGGGUUAUCCAGACUGAGAAACGUAUACACGUGUAAGGGGGUAUGGCGUGUAAGAGGAAAGACGUCUCCUUACGUACCUUCCGAAGUUAUUCUUUAGUAUCGCUCGAAUGUCCCAUAAAACCAUAAUACGAUAACCACGUGAAGCAUCGUGGACUCGUAUACGUUCGUCUCAACCCUACGGUCACCAAUGGUUGGAGUCAUCGUUUGGUUCACGAUAGGUAAUUAAAAGACUUGUUUAGAUUACGACGAACACUUCUUGGGUGCGACUUGAAUUCUUAAUCAACACGGCGAUGUUUAUGAAAUGGAGAAGAUUUUUCACAGCGUUACCACAGUGCACGGCUCACGGCUGUAUACGUAUGGUAUGGCUUACAAAGCCCAUUAAUGGUAUUUCAAGCUAAUUGAGGUAUGCGCAAGUGUAAAAGGCUUUGACAAUGAUUCGCUGGUAAUUAAUUAAAAAAAAAAAAGAGGUAGGGUACUGUAGCAUGAUUGUUGUUACUAAAAAUAAAAUUGAGACAUAUUUAAAUUACACUUUGGUUUUUCCAGUGUCGGACUUAUGAAAAACUUACCUAUUUCCCGGAAGGAAGCGAGCUGCUGCCAGCAGGUGAUUAGACUGCAGCUUCCGGACACGCCAUGACACUUGCAAGUCACUUUAGACCUUUUGAUGACCGCCUGGAAGAAGAUUAAGGAACAGGGAUGGACAACAGUUAACCCGUACGUAUGGGAAGAUAAUAGGACGUAUGAAUGCACCCGAGAUUUAUCACGGACAGAUGUUUCUUUUACGGAAUUUUAUUUUUUUAUUUUUUUCCCAAAAUUAUUUUCACGUGCUAAUUGAUAUAUUCUACUGGUGAAACUUUCGUCUAUCGCACGACUUGAUUGAGGCGACCGUGCGUGCUUGUAUCUAGGUACGAUUUUUAAAAAAAUCCAAAACGAGAUAAGGUUAAACCUUAUAACCGGCAGGGAUUAUCAAUCAACGAUAACGCUGCUCCUGGCUCGGAGCAUGAAGUUACGAUUUGUGGAACACUUUGGUAGAGUCAGCAUAGACUUAGCGGACAUUUACAUAUGACUGGAAUGACGUGUGAUUUAUACCUCUAUGCCGCGAGCCACCUGACGACUCAAUGUAAAAGUAGAAACCGGCGGCACUGUGUAUUACACUUGUUGUAUUAAAUUAUUAUUUUUCUUUUUUUCUUUUCGCAACUCAUUAACCAUAUUCAGUGAGAUAACAAAGGUAUAACCUUUAAGACACGUAAAGCGGUCCUUAUGGAAGCUGCCUUGAUUUCAGCUUAUCAGAAAAUUUCCAUUGAACGUUUGCGGCUCGUAAACUGGAGGCUGCCUAACGACGGACCGGUUGUCGGUACGAGCUAGAAGGAGCAAGAAGAAAAAGGAAGAGAAUAACAAAAAAAAAAGGAAUACAACUCGUCAAGUGCUUAUGCGUGUCGCUAAGACGCGGAGUGUUAUGUAGGAUUUAUGACGUAACAUAGAAACUCCUGGUUAGACCAUAUAGAAGAUAUUAAGGAUGGCUCGAGAUUUUUUUUUUGGCUUUUAAGUAUUCAACGUACCCAGUGAUUUUUUAUUAUCUUCUUCUCACCACUAAUCAGACCCAGUGCCAACGCACGGCUACGGAACUCUUUUUAAGUGUGCUGUAUUAGAACCCCAAAAAAAGCAUAGGUCAUAACCAGUCAGCCUGAGUUGAACUUGUACGGCUUGUAUCGUAUCGCAUUGUGAAGGUGGUAUCGUAUAGUAUCGUGUCGUAUCGUAUGGCUGAUGCAUGAGGACUCAAAACAAAGCCAAGAUCAGAUCCACGAUCCUAUUGUCUGAGAUCGCUGCCCGUUCGAAUCACGUGGAUCACCACCCACGUUACGGAUGUAACCGAUGGACGGAGUGACGUACUGGGAACCAUGAUUAAUGAUCUUGACUCGUAGAGUCCCGUGGGAGAACCCGUGUUAACGUAUUUUAACGUAUUCCUCGUGUACAGCCGAACGAUCCAGAUGGCCGGGCACACGAUCUUACCUAACGUCGAUUAAACUUAUCGUACGUUACUCGGGCGUAGAUGGUUGCCGAUCGGGACGAGGAAGUGGAUGCUGUGGAUAUAUCUCAUGGGAUAAGCGUACUGCGAUCGUUACUGUAAACGGUGGACAUCGGGAAGGAAUUGAUGACGGUUGUGCGGUUAAAUGGAGACAAUCGACGUUCAUUUAGGAUUGUUAUACCCAGCGAGAAAUUAUUGGGGACGUAAAAAAUUGGCAUUGGUUACUGGUUGACUGGGCAAAGUUUGUGACGUGAAAGAAAUGGGGUCAGAGGUCAUUUGCGUGGACAGUGGACCGACGGUAGGCAAUAAAAGAACGAUUAUCAAUUAUGUGAAUUUAAACUGUUCAGUGUCUGGUACAGGAAGAAUUUUUUUGUUGGUUCUCUAAUC